GAAUAAAUAUAGACAAAGAAUUCACUAAAGCUGUGGCUUCUAAAAAACGUUUUUCUGUAUUGCCAAAAAUGCUUCAAGUAGAGGUACUGAUCUACAAUAAAUAUAAGUCCCUACAUAUUUGAUAAUCAUUCAUUGUAAGUACCAGAAGACUAGAGAUCAGAAUAAAAAUUGUUCCUCUCUGAGGGAGGACUGGAAAGCAAAAUGCAGUCCUAAGAUCCUUAGUCUUUUUUUGUAUAUGAAAAUAUGUUCAAUAAUUGGAAUGAGCAUUACAAAAACAGUAGUGCUGACACAGGGAAAAUAAAAGCCGUUUCAGGUGCUGAAGAAAUAAAUGUGCAAGGAAUUAAAGAAGAUGAGACAAAAAUGCAAGGAAGAUGAAGAUCCAGGUAUUGUCAUGUGGAAAUUUCUGGAGCCAAUAAUGUGGAUCCUGGACUACCAUUCUCGUUAAGCACAUGCAGUGGUUCCUUUUCAGGAUGCAGAAUGCUAUACAAGUGUCUACACAGAUCAGAAAAGUUGAGUCUUACAAGACCAAAGGAACUGCAAUUUGCCACUGGGCGUACAAUGCUUUAGCCACUAAAACCCAUAAAAGUCCAGUUGAAUCGAGGCAUCUACAGCUCAGUAUGUUGUUUCCUAAUGAUAGACUUCAAGUAUCAGUAUUUAGUUGGAUUGGUUAUAUCCUAAGCAGUGAGAAUGGAAGAACGUGUUUAUCAGAAGGACAUCUCCAAAUUAUCAGAAGGACAUCUCCAAACCAUGUGAAAGAAAUAUCAGUCUGAAAAUAUACAUUCACCAACUCUAGCAACUUUUUCCCCUCUGAUUAUCAAUUAAUGCCCUAGUCAGCAAUGAACCUUAUUUUGUAUCAGACAUUGCACAUGGAAGCAAGAAAGCAAGAAAAACUGCAGCACCUUACUCCAGGGUAAGUAUCUAAAGUCACUUCCAGAAGAACUGAAGAGCUGAAAUGAGAAAGACUGAAUGAGCAUUAGACAUCUGCAAUUCAGAUUAGCCUGAAGUUUUAAUUGCUAUGUUAUCAGAAAUAAGUGCAUUUCAUUGAGCAGUAGCUGUUCAGGAAGACUUGGAGUCAUCAAUGGUAUAUCAUAACGAUGAUGACUUCAUCUCUCCAAAGGGUAUUAGCAAGGAUUCAUUUCAACCUGUCAUUCUAAAAAUGGUGAUACAAGAGUCAACAGUACUUUUCCAGUUUUGCUAUUACUUCACAAGCUAGUUGCAAAUCAAAUGAAUCUUUUCAACAUCUUUAGAAAGAACACGUGGCCCUUCAUCCUCUAAUUGUCCUGAAAUGUCUCCCCCUAAUGUGUCCACAUGUGCCUACAUAUGUGUGAGGGAAAGGAGGAGAAUAUCAAAAUGUAGGCUAAUUUUCUUUUAAUUUUCAAAAUCUCCAAAGUUUUGAUGUGUCUGGAUUGCAUUCUUGUUUUGAUUUAUGACUGUGUAGGUGGAAGGGUGCAGCUGCUCUGAAAUUCCAGUCAUGAUUCUUACCCAAAUAUAGACUAUCUGAAG
rnacentral:lncRNA from 7 species